rnacentral:lncRNA from 1 species
GGCGAUUGAUGGAGGAUUAGCGGUAGAUCCGGCAGGUGCACCGGAAGGAGUGGGAGGAGCAGGUGGAGAAGUCAAUGGAGAUUCAGAAGGUGAUGAACUUGUAGGAGCUGAGGCUGGUGGACUGACGGCGGCGGAUGGUGAAGGAGUUGGUGUAGUAACCACCUUAGGUGGAGAUGCAACCGGAGCCGCUGUUGGAGACGCCUUUGGGGUGGCGGCUGGAGCCUGAGCUAAAG